UACGUAGGUGGCAAGCGUUAUCCGGAUUUAUUGGGUGUAAAGGGCGUGUAGGCGGGAGCGCAAGUCAGAUGUGAAAACUCAGGGCUCAACCCUGAGCCUGCAUUUGAAACUGUGUUUCUUGAGUGCUGGAGAGACAAUCGGAAUUCCGUGUGUAGCGGUGAAAUGCGUAGAUAUACGGAGGAACACCAGUGGCGAAGGCGGAUUGCUGGACAGUAACUGACGCUGAGGCGCGAAAGCGUGGGGAGCAAACAGG
rnacentral:rRNA from 1 species